AAAAUGAAUUCUUAAUAUGUACCAGGAUCUUAAAACACCUUUUCCUUUUUCUUUCUUUUUUUUUUUAGUGUUGGAGCCUACUUUUGUUGGAUGUUGUCUUCAUAAAUGUCUGACUUACUAUGUAGGUAAGAAAUUAUUUAAAUCUUGCUCCUGAAAAAGAACUCUUCAGAAAUGUGAUGUGCAUAUGUGACUUCAGUUGAGAUGUGGAAAGAUCUAUCCACAUAGCUAUCUUUUAUGGAUCUGAGCCCAAAGUAAAUCAACAGGAUGUAAAUAUAAGCAUCAUUAUAGAAGAGGGAAUCGGCCAUCCAAGCAAGCUAUUGUCCUGCAGAUAUGCAGAUGCAUGCCUCAGACAUCAGUGAAUGUUACCAACUUGCACUGGAAAGUGAAAUAUCCCCCAAAGAAGUGGUUAAAAGCCAACCGUCCCAAUCACAUGAGGAUCCAAGAUAAAAUAAAUGUUAACCAUCCUGAUUUUUACAAAAACAAGACAGCUUGA
rnacentral:lncRNA from 1 species